CCUCGUCGCACGUUCGCACGCACAGGAGCGCUCCAUCCCCAACCUCCCUCCUCUCUCGGUCGGCGCCGCCCCCUCGCCCGCCCCCUCGCCUCGGCACGGCCCCUCGCCUCGACCCGCUGCAGCUUCAUCGACGCCGCCCCUCACAUCUCCGUGUCGCCCCCACCCAUCGCCUCGUCUGGCCUCGGCCGUCGGGGACGCCGCCUAGACCACCUGGCCGGCCGUGGGGGAUGCCGCCCGGUGAUUGCUAGCUACCCCAUCAUCGUCUCUCCCUGUCCUCAACCGGUGUGCCGACGCGGCACCACGGAUCUGCCGUCUCUAGCCUUCCUGAUGCGGCGGCCCUUGGGGCGAGCGACGAAGGAGCCCCACCAUGGCUUCGUCCUCUUGUUCGUCCUAUCAUCCUGCACCAUCCUGUGUUCGCCAGCGACGAAGGAGCGACGAAGGAGCAGCCGCGGUUGAUCCUGCACCAUCCUGUGGCCGUCAAGCGUGUAGCCGCCGUCCACCACAUCGGCACAUCCAUCUAAUGUGCAGGAGCUGCCGCCUCCGCUGGGGACAUGGACACACGCAGGGCGACCGCUGGCGUACGAUGCCGUACAUGCCAUCCUGCCUCCGCGCUCCUGCACCGGGGCGCACAGGGGAAUGGCCAUAUCAGUUAACGGAUGCAGCCCCGGGUCAAGUCAAUUGAUCUUUGGUGGCGCGGGAAGACGUCGGGGCGCUGGACUCGGCGGGCGCCGCCACUCCCGCAUACCCGGUUGUGGGCUAGGACGGGGACUCCGCUGCCGCUCCCGACGACGAGGGAUACACUGCCGCUGGCCGGGCAAUGUGGUUUUUUUCCGGGUCCUAGGGAUUUUACAAGCAGUUGUUUGUCCCUGCUGAUUUUCGUCGGACGCACAUAUUUCAGAGGAAAGUACUCUUCUUAUGGUUCUACUUGCAGGGAUCCCAGUGUAUUGAGGGCUCCAAGUCAAUGGAGUUGUGUGCGGCCACGACAACAACACCCAUAAGGUUUUUAGGCAAGUUUAAGAGGGGUUCCUUGAAGUUAUGGUCACAUCUUUUGAGAAAUCUUGUCAGAGGAAGAGACGGCAGUCUUUAGAGAAUUUGAAUCACAAGAUAGUGAUAAAUAGAGGGAUAAUUAGUCUUGAGGUACUAAGGGCUGGUUUGUAGAAGUUUGGUACCAAAUUUACCCAAUUGGAAAAAAACAGUUGAUGGAGCUGAUCUGAAUGUGCUGAUGAAAUUACGGUCCAAUAGAGGAACCAAUGUGCUCCUGGUCUGAUCCAUAAUUGUGAAGAUCUUUUUUGGGUCGUCAUUCAUGGGCUGGACUUCUCCUUCAGGUUAAUGGUCUUCUUUCUAGCAUGAAGUGGAGUAUUAUAACUACUGGGAAGCACAAGAUGUUGCUCAUGAAUUCGACAGUUAUUUUGCUUUCCUUGAUGUUGUCUUCAUUCCGAUUAAGUUUCUGUCCGCUUCUCCUAAUGGUCCAGCCAAUUAAUAAGAGAAAAGAGGGAGAAGAAAAAUGUAUGACACAAGAAGAGAUACCUCUACAAGCAGUGGAAACAGGUCUUCCUUAUAUUCUAGAGAUCAUGAUCAUGACAAAUCUUGAAACAUGUACUAACAAGAGAACGGACUAGAAAGGGGAUGCUGAUUGGAAAAGAAGUUCUUGCAACUAGCAAGGUAUUCUGCUUAUAACCUGAUUGUGAACUUUCUUCAAAGAUCAUCAUUCAAAGUGAAGCAUAUUCAACAAGUCUUCUAGGAAGUUCUCUUUCGUUCCUUUCACAUUUUAUGUCUACUGGUAGCAUGGCGGUUAUAGCUCUCAUGUGUAUGGACUACCAUUGAUGGCUAUCCUUGCUUUUCUUCAUGGUUUCGCAUUAAAAUUGUUAUGUAACUGUUUCAUCUCUCAUUACAAACAUUGCCUUUUUCAAAUCCAGUGAGAAUUCAUGUAAAACAGUGGCCACUCACAUCAGUGGAGUAAAUUAUGUAAGAUAAGCUACAUUAUCUAUGAGCUACUUUAAUUUCAGAUGAAACAUGUCCUUUUUGACAUCUCAAUUCUUGUGUUGAAAACAAAUAUUUUCCUACCCUACAUCUGAAAUAUUUCCAAACAUCACCCUGAAAGGAAAAAAACUUGCUCUUCGCUCCAUUGACUUGAUAAACAAGAGCAUCACAGUACGUAGUUCAAUGAUACUCCAUCUGUAUAUUACUUUACAGAGGAAUAUUAAGGUACUGGUAAUUAUUUUUUGGCAUAGUGUUUGUUUGCAUUUGUCGUAUAUGAGCCCAUUAUUGACUUAAAAUGUCGAGACCUUUGUGGAGUUUGAUGCUCUUGCCGUUAUCUAGCCUCACAUGAUUUGACAGUUUGAUGGAAUUUAGGUUGAUCCUUUGCUUUCAGAUUUGUUAGCAAGUAAUUCAUAUCCUAUUUGUUUCUUGUCAGUUAGAGAGAACAAUGAACAAGUGUAUUCCAGUUGCUUCUGUUUGUAAAACAACUAGAAUGUAAUUAAGCGCCAUGUAGUACUAGCAUAUGAUAGAUUACUAAUCACAGAUCACGGUGAAAAGCAUUAGGAACACCAAUUUACAACUGCGAGUAGUCAAUGCCCCUACCCCUCUCAGGCGUAAAAAAAUGACAAUGUCCAAAAUGCAUAUACUUUUAUCUAUCACGACAAUUUGUACCCUCACUGUAGAUGCUAUUACUACGCAACUACAACUUCUAAUUACGAGUUCUUUUAGAAUGAUGGAUCUUCCUAAUGGGUUCAGCUUCUAUGAAAUGUAUUUAUAUGCCUAUUUGAAAAUUUCCCUUUGAGUCUAAAUUUAUCACAGGAAAUGGAGAGUUUUGCUGAGAGUAUGGGGGAAAUCUGCAUGCUAUUGUCUGGAAAAGUGGCAACAAUCUACAGUAUAGGAUAUCGAAGAGUGUAAAUAGUAGUUGUAUUUUGUUAUCCAAACAUAUCUUUCUCGGGAUAAUACACAUGCCAUGUACUGAAUCAUGUUGUAUUAAGACGUAUCACACUGGAAUUAGCUUUUCGAAUGACUCAAUAUA